rnacentral:rRNA from 1 species
UACGUAGGGUGCAAGCGUUGUCCGGAAUUAUUGGGCGUAAAGAGCUCGUAGGCGGUUUGUCGCGUCUGCUGUGAAAUCCCGAGGCUCAACCUCGGGUCUGCAGUGGGUACGGGCAGACUAGAGUGUGGUAGGGGAGAUUGGAAUUCCUGGUGUAGCGGUGGAAUGCGCAGAUAUCAGGAGGAACACCGAUGGCGAAGGCAGAUCUCUGGGCCAUUACUGACGCUGAGGAGCGAAAGCGUGGGGAGCAAACAGG